rnacentral:rRNA from 1 species
GACGAACUGUGCGAACGUUAUUCGGAAUCACUGGGCUUACAGGGUGCGUAGGCGGCCACGUAAGUAGGGUGUGAAAUCCCCCGGCCCAACCGGGGAACUGCGCUCUAAACUACAUGGCUUGAGUGAGCUAGGGGUCCACGGAACUUCCAGUGGAGCGGUGAAAUGUGUUGAUAUUGGAAGGAACACCGGAGGCGAAAGCGGUGGACUGGGGCUCAACUGACGCUGAGGCACGAAAGCCAGGGGAGCGAACGGGAUUAGAAACCCCCGUAGUCC